rnacentral:lncRNA from 1 species
GUCCAUUUGAAGGAAAUUGAGGUCAUGGUCAAAGGUCAAGGUGAUGUUAUAAAUUUUGAAUUUUGCUUGUUAUCGUUAUUCAAAAGAAACUGUUACAGUUAAUGAUAUGAUAUUUUUGUCAAAUUACUGUUUACAAUAGGACACAACUUCAACCUAUUCAGUCGAAGUGUUUUGGUUAACUCUUAUAGGAGUUUUCUCCCCUUAUGUAUUUAAAAUCAAUAUUUCUCCACAACCAUACAAGUGAUUGACUUCGGACCUUCCUAUUUGAG